AGGCAGGCCCUCCAGUGAGACUCAGGUUGGCAACGCAGAGCACGGCGUGGCGAGAGCAUUGAUCUAGCGGACACGAAGCGCGUUCUUGCAAUGGACCUCUCGGGCCUGGCUUCCUUUUUCAUAGCGCUCAUCGUGGUGGCGUCUAACACAGCAGAGGCAACCCAGUUGUACUGUGGUGUCGCAGGAUGGGAAGAUUUUUGCAACGGAAAGAAAUGAGCCAUGCUGCAUCUCCUAUUCUUCCCAUAAAACUACAGUUAAUAUCGCAGCCACCUGAGCCUUUCCAAGUUGGCUGCAGGGUCGAAAGCAACUUUGUAAUUACAUAAGGACCUAAAAAAUUAUCUGUGCAGUAGAGCGCAACUGAUAUCCGGAGUUUUAUCACACCAUGUGGCUUUCAUAUUAAACCACAGUAAAACGUUUUCACAGUUGAA